rnacentral:rRNA from 1 species
AUUGAACGCUGGCGGAAUGCUUUACACAUGCAAGUCGAGCGGCAGCGCGGGGCAACCUGGCGGCGAGCGGCGAACGGGUGAGUAACAUAUCGGAACGUACCCAGUGGUGGGGGAUAACACAUCGAAAGAUGUGCUAAUACCGCAUACGACCUGAGGGUGAAAGGGGGGGAUCGCAAGACCUCUCGCCGUUGGAGCGGCCGAUAUCGGAUUAGCUAGUGGGUGAGGUAAAGGCUCACCAAGGCGACGAUCCGUAGCUGGUCUGAGAGGAUGAUCAGCCAAACUGGGACGGAGCCACGGCCCAGACGCCUACGGGAGGCAGCAGUGGGGAGUUUUGGACAAUGGGGGCAACCCUGAUCCAGCCAUUCCGCGUGAGUGAAGAAGGCCUUCGGGUUGUAAAGCUCUUUCGGCAGGAACGAAACGGUGGGUCCUAAUACGAUCUGCUAAUGACGGUACCUGAAGAAGAAGCACCGGCUAACUACGUGCCAGCCGCCGCCGUAAAAC